GUGGGUUCUACCAGAAGUAGCUAGGCUAACCGCAAGGAGGCCGGUUACCACGGUAGGAUUCAUGACUGGGGUGAAGUCGUAACAAGGUAGCCGUAGGUGAACCUGCAGAAGGAUCA
rnacentral:rRNA from 1 species